AUUGAACGCUGGCGGCAGGCCUAACACAUGCAAGUCGAGCGGAGCGGCGGACGGGUGAGUAAUGCCUAGGAAUAUGCCUGGUAGUGGGGGAUAACGUCCGGAAACGGGCGCUAAUAACGCAUACUAUCAGCUUAGCCUAGGUCGGAUAGGCUAGUUGGUUGGGUAAAGGCAUACCAAGGCGACGAUCCGUAACUGGGCUGAGAGUAUGAUCAGUCACACGGGAACUGAGACACGGUCCAGACGCCUACGGGAGGCAGCAGUGGGGAAUAUUGGACAAUGGGCGAAAGCCUGAUCCAGCCAUGCCGCGUGUGUGAAGAAGGGCUUCGGAUUGUAAAGCACUUUAAGUUGGGAGGCGUUACCAACAGAAUAAGCACCGGCUAACUUCGUGCCAGCAGCCGCGGUAAUUC
rnacentral:rRNA from 1 species